UUUCGAAUCAUUCACAAUGGGCGAAAGCCUGAUGGUGCGACGCCGCGUGAGGGACGAAGGCCUUCGGGUCGUAAACCUCUGUCACCGGGGAAGAAACGCUAUGUUUUAACAGAUCAUAGCCUGACUUAACCCGGAGAGGAAGCAGUGGCUAACUCUGUGCCAGCAGCCGCGGUAAUACAGAGACUGCGAGCGUUAUUCGGAUUCACUGGGCGUAAAGGGUGCGCAGGCGGUCGUGUGUGUCAGGUGUGAAAUCUCGAGGCUCAACCUCGAAAUGGCGCCUGAAACUACACGACUAGAGUACUGGAGAGGGUAACGGAAUUCACGGUGUAGCAGUGAAAUGCGUAGAUAUCGUGAGGAACACCAGAGGCGAAGGCGGUUACCUGGACAGUUACUGACGCUCAGGCACGAAAGCGUGGGGAGCAAAAG
rnacentral:rRNA from 1 species